rnacentral:rRNA from 1 species
UUUUUUAAAUUUUUCAGACCUGAACAUUGACAUUUUGAACGCACACUGCGGCCCUAGGACUUGUUCCUGGGCCCCACCCGAACGAGGGUGGGGUGACCAAAAUCAAAGACCAGACUGUCC